UAGUGUAGGGUUAAGGGUAGGGUUGGGUUAGGGUUAAGGGUAGGGUUGGGUUAGGAGUAGGGUUUGGGUUAGGGUUGGGUAAGGAGUAGGGUUAGGGUUGGGUUAGGAGUAGCCCUACUCCUAACCUAACCCUACUCCUAACCCUUCCCACUACUCCUAACCUUACCCUAACCCUAACCCUACUCCUAACCUAACCCUACUCCUAACCCAGCCCUAAUCCAAGCCUAACCCUACUCCUAACACUAACCCUACUCCCAACUCUAACCCUACCCCUAACCCUACAC